rnacentral:lncRNA from 1 species
AUUUAACAAAAAAAAAAAAAGUUAAGGUGCGUCACUAUUUAAAUUGUGAUGCGAUGAUUUUGUAUUAUAAGACGUGAUAAAUUAUUUAUUUUUUAUUUUUAUUUUUGAUAAAUGAGACUUUAUCCAUGCAUCUUUAUUGAUAGAUUAUUUAUUUUUUUAUUUUUAUUUUUGAUAAAUGAGAUCUUAUCCAUACAUCUCAGUAUUUUUAUUUUUAUUUUUAUUUUUAUUGAUACAGAU